rnacentral:ncRNA from 1 species
UGUUUUUUGCGUUAGGGAUUGAGCGGUUUGUUUGAACUCUUCUUAAUGUCACAUUGAGCGCAGUCGAAAUGCGGCAUUAAAAAAGUGAGUAGCGAAAGCCCGACCUUUA